rnacentral:tRNA from 1 species
GCCUGACUGACUCAAUUGGUAGAGCAUGUGACUCUUGAUCUCAGGGUCUUGAGUUCAAGUCCCAAGCAGGGUG